CUUCCUGUUCUGGCGUCCUGACGUUCUGACGUCGUUUAGGUUUGUGACGGGCUCCGCGCCGUGCGGCAGCCGCCAUUUUGUGGGCCCGCCACACGCGAGUUCCCUUCCUCCGAAGGGCCUGGCCUGCGUCCUCGUCCGCUCCUGCAGGCGUAGCCCGAGGAGCGGCGGCGGCACCUGGAGCUCGUCAGACACGCACACGCUUGGGCCCCAGCCCAGGCCCUCUGACUCAGAAUGUUCCGUGCGUCAGGCCGUGUGCGGACGCUCUGUUUGCACGUUGGCGGCCGCGGGGCGGCGUCGCGCCGCGACUCAGGGGCAGGCAGAGAGCCGGGCUGGGGCCCAUCAGCACGCGGCCCCUUGCGUACCUCCACGUGCACGCGGCGCUUUGGGCUCGGCGUCUGUUUCCGGUUCCCCGCCCUGGGAGGCGAGACUCCGACGCCGUGAGAUGCACGUACCUGCUGCCCCUGUGAGUUCCGACAAACGCGUCUUCCGAUGAAACCAGACUCCGACCAAGAUCUCGGACGUUACCAGCAGCCGCUGCUCGCUGGCCUGAGUAUCCGCUAGGUUGCCUCUGACUGGGGCUCCUGAGGAGUAAGGCUGCCAGAGGCAUUCCCGUAACGGUAUGCUGAGAGGGCUGCAGAUGCUGGGCACUCCUCACGGUGACCCUUUGAUAGUAUUACUUCUUAACAGCUGCAUAGAACAUGCCCUGGGCCAGCUGUGGAAGCCCUGCUUCCCUGAAUUACCAGCUCUGGCUUUCUGAACCUCCCAGUGGUAAGUAAGACUGCCAUCUCCCCUUAUGGCAGAGCCCAAGCCCUCCCUUUCUGCCACUCCUGGAACCUCUGCCAUCCUUCUAUCCCAUUGCCAAAUUUAGGGUGACUGAUGUGUCCAAAUGGUUUCAACAGCAAGGUUCAGUAAAAAUUGAAAAAAAAGUACUGCGUGCCAGGACUUACUCCUGAGGCCUGAGUAAUAGAGCUGCCCGUCCUCGAGGAGUUUACAGUCCAGGGGAAAUAAGCGGAUUAAUUCCCAUCAAAUGCAGCCGAAUGCUAGAGUGGCAGGGCUGGGAGAGAGGCAUUUUGCCAGCUCGGGCGCUGCCUGAAAUCCCGACAGAAGGAACCUCUUGAGCAAAGCCCCAGGGAGGGGUGUGCAGCAACCACCAGCAACUGCUAGCAGUUUGGAGUGACUGGAGGGCAAGUGGCUGUCUGGGCUAAGCACUGGCUGGAAGAGUUUAACCUUCCCCACCAUCCCAGAGGCUAAGUGACCUGCUAGAUGUUGUGCAAGCAGUGGCCAGCUGGCAGAGUUGGGCUUCCCAUCAAAGUUUAGGUGGCUGAAAACUCAUGGGCUUUCUUGUGUCUCUAGGCAGGCCCAGGCAAAAAAGGAGGAGGUACAGCAGUGGCCAAAGUUGUUAGCUGGACCAUUUCAUGGAUGUUUAUUACGCAGAAUCCUUUUGCAAAGUGAAUACUCCUCAGAAUAUGAUCUGUGGUGUAAUAAGGCCCCCCCAAAACUGUUUAGUUUACAUAUAAUGGCUAGGCAUAUAAAACAGUUCUGUGAGGUUUGAAACUAAGUACUUUAUCAGCCAAUUUUAGGCAGUCUUAUUAUCCAUACUCUAGGGGUGAGAAAACAGAGGCUUUGGUCAUGGUCUUGAAAAGUCACACAGCUAGAAAAUGGCAGAGCCAAGAUUUGGAUCCAGAAUGGCCCAACUUCCAAGUCUUGGACCACUGAUUCUUAAACCUUAAUGUCUGAGUCACUGGCAGGAAAUAACUGAAAAUACAGAUUCCUUACCCCACCCCAGGGCAUCUGAUUCACUGGGCCGGGGUCCAAACAGAGGAAUAUGCAUUCUACAAACACUACAGGUGGAUCUAAGCCAGGUAACUCUCAGGCUGCACUUGGCCACACCUCCCCCUCUAAUCCAGAGACCCUGCAGCAGUCCCAGGGUCUCAGGUAGAAGAAGUUGGGGUGGGCAGGGCGAGGCCCCAUCCAAAUAAUUUGGGAGCUUGUGCAAGUGACCUGAAGCCUGAAGGGCUCUGGGAUGGCAGGUCCUGUGUUGCAACCAGGCCAGGAGGGGAUCCCAGGAAGGGGUGCCUUGGAGGGCGCUGAUGACAAGGCCCAGCCCAUUAGGGGCCCGGCGCCCCCACUGUCUCUCACCUGCUGCGAGGUGCGCCCACGGUCCAGAUUGGCCCAUGAAUAUGUCCAUCGCGCUUCCCUAAUUCCGAAGACUUUCACUUUCCUCCUUGAACAAAACCUGUCACCUCCAAGCCAAAAAUACCUUAGGCUAGCCCCUCCUGGCGAAGGGAUCGGCUCCCAGGGAGCCAGCAGGGCCCGGAAGUCGGGCCUGGGACGGAGGACGGGGGGGCAGAUCGCCUCCCGGUCCGCAGGCGGCGGUGCAGGUGAAGGCGCGGCCUCUCCCCACCGGCGCGGGAAGGAACCGGAGCGCUGC